rnacentral:rRNA from 1 species
CCUACGGGAGGCAGCAGUGAGGAAUAUUGGUCAAUGGGCGCGAGCCUGAACCAGCCAAGUAGCGUGAAGGAUGACUGCCCUACGGGUUGUAAACUUCUUUUAUAAAGGAAUAAAGUGAGGCACGUGUGCCGUUGUGUAUGUACUUGAUGAAUAAGGAUCGGCUAACUCCGUGCCAGCAGCCGCGGUAAUACGGAGGAUCCGAGCGUUAUCCGGAUUUAUUGGGUUUAAAGGGAGCGUAGACGGGUUGUUAAGUCAGUUGUGAAAGUUUGCGGCUUAACCGUAAAAUUGCAAUUGAUACUGGCAGCCUUGAGUGCAGUUAGGGUAGGCGGAAUGCGUGGUGUAGCGGUGAAAUGCUUAGAUAUCACGAAGAACUCCGAUUGCGAAGGCAGCUUACUAGCGUGCCACUGACAUUGAUGCUCGAAAGUGUGGGUAUCAAACAGGAUUAGAUACCCGGGUAGUC